CCUACGGGCGGCAGCAGUGGGGAAUAUUGCACAAUGGGCGCAAACCUGAUGCAGCCAUGCCGCGUGUGUGAAGAAGGCCUUCGGGUUGUAAAGCACUUUCAGCGGGGAGGAAGGCGGUGAGGUUAAUAACCUCAUCGAUUGACGUUACCCGCAGAAGAAGCACCGGCUAACUCCGUGCCAGCAGCCGCGGUAAUACGGAGGGUGCAAGCGUUAAUCGGAAUUACUGGGCGUAAAGCGCACGCAGGCGGUCUGUCAAGUCGGAUGUGAAAUCCCCGGGCUCAACCUGGGAACCGCAUUCGAAACUGGCAGGCUAGAGUCUUGUAGAGGGGGGUAGAAUUCCAGGUGUAGCGGUGAAAUGCGUAGAGAUCUGGAGGAAUACCGGUGGCGAAGGCGGCCCCCUGGACAAAGACUGACGCUCAGGUGCGAAAGCGUGGGGAGCAAACAGGAUUAGAUACCCCAGUAGUC
rnacentral:rRNA from 1 species